rnacentral:rRNA from 1 species
UACGUAGGGUGCGAGCGUUAAUCGGAAUUACUGGGCGUAAAGCGUGCGCAGGCGGUUUUGUAAGCCAGAUGUGAAAUCCCCGGGCUUAACCUGGGAAUGGCAUUUGGGACUGCAAGGCUUGAGUGCGGCAGAGGAGACUGGAAUUCCUGGUGUAGCAGUGAAAUGCGUAGAUAUCAGGAGGAAUACCGAUGGCGAAGGCAGGUCUCUGGGCUGACACUGACGCUCAUGCACGAAAGCGUGGGGAGCAAACGAGGAUAGAAACCCGGU